GGCUCCGGCGGCGGCAGGGGCCCGGCGGCCGCGGGGCUGCCCGGGCUGGCGGCGGCCGCCGCCAUUGUCGGCCCCCUUCCCUCCCCGCUUCCCUCCCGCCGGUCGCCGCCUCUCUCUCUGCCGCCCUUCAGGCCGGCGGGCUAGCGGGGCGCGGGCGGGCGGCGGGGCAUGGGUGCCGUCGGGGGGGCCGCCGCCCCGUCGGGCCGCAUGGAUGGGAGCGCGGCGGGGCCGCCCUCCGCCCGGCCGUACCGAGCCCCUGCCGCCCGCCCUGCCCCUAUUUAUGGGUGCAGCCGCGCGGCGACGGGCCCCGUGCAACAACACGGCAAUCACGUGUGGGAAACGGGGAGCUGGAGGAAAACAAAAGCCCGGCCAGCAGCCCGGAGGAGGAGGAGGAGGAGGGAGAAGGGUGGGUCUCCGCGAGCUCCCUCCUUUCAACCUCUCUCGGUGUGCUUUUUUUUUUUUUUUUUUUUUUUUGCUUUUUUUUUUUUUCCUCCCCCUUUCCCUCCUCCUCCUCCUCCUCCUCCUCCUCCUCUUCUUCCCUUCCUGGAUGCGUGGGGGCGGGCGGGAGCCGGGGGAGGUGGAGUCUGUGCCCGCGGUGCGCGGCACGUGGCCCGCCGGGCUGGCACCGCUACCGCUGCGGGUCCUGGAGCGGCCCGGAGCGCACCGGAGCGCUCGGCUCCCUCCUGCAACAUCCCGUAGGCUUCCCGACCGCUCAGCUCCAUCCCCAGCCCCGCUCUUUGGAGUGAACGCGCUGCGUCCCGCUCGCCCUCUCAUCCCCAGCCCCGCGAGGUGCGCCUUCCCCACCAUCCCGAAGCGGCGGCCGCCCGGCUUCCCUUCUCCGUCCCAUCGGCGCUGUUGUGUUGUGAUGGUAAUUUCAUCAACGGCUUAUGUAAGGGUUGGAUAACACAAACACCACAACAUAUGGUUCGUGCGAGAUAGCAACGUGCGCUCCAUAAAGCGUUACAAUGACUUGUGUGAUAUUCCCGGUACAGUCUGUGGAUGAUUUACAGCCUUCCCAAGCUGUCACAAAUAGCGUCACGUCCCCUGUGAUUCGAGCAAAAGUUUGCUAAUUUGAUCAACAAAAUGGAUUAUUUGGCCACAGAGGGAAAUCUAAGGUUAUUACUGGAGGAAGCUGUGGACAUGCAUCUGCAUUCCGCUCAAAGCUGAUCUUCUGAGCAUUGAGUGGCUUUAGAGCAGAGCUCUGUGAGAGUUUGGUUUGUGAAGGUUUGGCCUGCGAUGGCCCUGGGCACCACCAAACCUCGCCUGUAAGGCCCCAAUGUCCCUGGAGCACUGCAGCAUCCUGGUGCUGCGUGGGCAGCCAUCCGAGCAGGCAGUGCUGAGCAAAGGAUAGGAAACGUCGGGGAAAGGAGAGUGUUUCUCAAACCCCACCUUCUUCCGGAUGGAUUUUGAGGUGGGCAUUCCCAUUGCAGACUGAGGUGACGCUUUCCUAACAGAUGGCACUGGUGCGCUCACCCGGCGGCACGUCGGAGGUAGAUGGGUUGGGUGGGAUGUGGCAGGCCUAAGUGUGGGCUCCCCUCCCCAGGGCACAGCCCAGCUGUUGUCACCCACCUGCUGGGGAGAUGCUCUGCACUCCUGUGGUCGCAUCACAUCCUUUGAACUAACGCUGUGGGGAGGAAGCACAAGGAAAUGCAGACCUGCAGCCUUCAGGCACUGACUUUUUACCCCUUGCGUGUCUGAUGGGAUGCAGCCACUGUGUGUGCUUUGCUCCGGAACCCGUAAGCUUGCAAGGGCAACUGAGUCUCAGAGCAUGUUUUCCAAAGGCAGCCUCUCCCACGUGACAGGCAUGUGAAAGAGGACCACCACCAAAGUGCUGGGUGCAGGUCCAGAGGCUGCUCUAACUCGGGGGCAAGCUUGAUGUGUGCAGAAGUAUGCUCUCCUUUCACAAAAUGACCCUUGCGGUGGGAUAAAUAUUAAGUGUACUUUGGUGCUGGAGGCAUGACCUCUGUUGUACAGCUCCUCCAAAGCUGUUCUGGAGAAAAGCGUCAGCCCACCUUGUGCACACUUCUGUCCAGGUGUGUUUUAGCACCUGAUUUGACAGUGUGAUGCCUGCAGCCAGGGGUGCUCGUGGGAAUGGUUGAGCUUAUUGAACCGCCUUGCGUCCAAAUUAGAGGGGCUGGGAAAACCUGUUCUGUGUUUUGAUUGUUAUUUAGCUUUGAAAAUAUUUAUUUUACUGUUUAUUGUUAUUUAAAUUACUAACCCAGCUCUGACGUUUGCAGUGUGCAUAUCCGUGCCCAUCAGCCCCACUGCCUCCGCAGACCUCCACAGAUGCCUCUGUGCUAACAGAAACGAGCUGCCCUGUGGGUGCCGUGUAUGUAUGUGCUGUCCUAUCCAACAGCGUUAUUGAAGGGGGAUUAAAACAUCCCUUCCUUUGCACAAAAUAAUGAACUCAUUUUGAGAAAGCACCGUGCAACAUGACUUUCUCGGUCAAAAGUGAAGCUGUUUUUGUUAAUGAGCAGGGCACCAGAGUACAGAGAUAGUUGGCAUGUUAGAAAUACCAGGCUCUCUAGACCUAUUUAUAUGUUUAGUAUAAAUAUAAAUGAAUGUUUACAACCUAAGGUGAAUGUUCUUUUCCAGUUCCUUGCAUCCUUUUGAUCUGUGCUUAGCAAGGCUUUCAGUGACUCCGUGUGCUACAGGAUGCUCCCAUUUGCUGGAGGUUAUGUGGAAAUGUUAAACAAAUUGACUUUGCUGGUUGAAACUUUUUUUCUUUGAUGGUGAGCAGUGGUGGACUAGAGGAAAUAGCAAAGUUGAAAGGAAAACCAAAAAUACAUAUUCUGGAAACUUGCUUCUGUGACUGUUUUUUAAAUCAUUUUCCUCUCCGAUUUCUCUUCCAACCAACCAGCUCUACCCAAGUGCAAGCAAAUGCUUUUAUUUCAGAGGUCAUGGGCUUAUGUAAGUGGUUGGACGACAAGUGGUAACAGGAGUGGUAGAGCAUGAUAGCUUUUUCACCCAGUGCACAAAGAGCUGGAAGAGAGACUCAUCAGCUGUGGGUGUUUGGAGACAGUGAGGAACUUGGGGUGACACAGGUGAGUGGAGACACUGGGUUUGAAGACAUCGGGGAGGGUGGAGGGAGCUUGGACAAAAAGUGAAAGCGCAGCAAUUUGCCACUCUGAGAAAUGAGCCUGUAAAAAUGGUGCCUCUGCUUUCAUAGGAAAGUGAACCCAAGUACGGAAGCCUGACGCUGUCGUGGUUUUCACAUCUGCUGUCUUGGUUUUAGUAUAGUCAGUGCAAAGUCCUGUUGCAACGCAAGGGUGAAGAGCAAGCGUGGAAGGCCACAGAAGCUGAAGCUGUGCUGCUGGAUGACUUGCCUCCUCCGACUGAAAAACGUCGCUCCGUAGAGUUGAAAACUUUGCCUGGAGCUUUAGUCAGAGACGGGAUUUGUAUUGAAUUGAGAGUUAACUCUGUGAGACCAACUGGUCCUGAGUCACCAACGUACGUGCCAACAGUAGCCAGUGAACGUAAAACCAAAUUCUCGCAUGGUGAUUAUAAAGUGGGAGAGAUUUGUGAUUGCCUGACAUUACGGUUGGAGCAGCGUGAGCAAGAGCCCGUGUGUAACUGCCAGGAUGAGCAGAAGCGGAUACCCACAGCGAAGGUGAAACGUUGCCUGCACGGAUCAGCUGACAUGCAGAUCACAAAGGCACAGAACCUCAUUAUUUAAGAGGUCAGAGGUGUGGCAUGUGCGGUGUUGAUGUGCCUGUUGCACUGCCUUGAACGGUUCCUGAGAUCACCGGAAGGCGAGCAGUGGGCGGCACGGCCAGUUGGAUAGAUACUUGUAUCUUAAAGAAAUUAGGGCACUCUAAUUAAGUGGUGAGACCUGGAAUCCAUAUCAUUACUCUGACUCACAGUACCUUUAGGUGAGGCUGGUGGCAACAGCUUUUUAUUAAGAUGACUUAACAUUUCCCAGUGUAAGACCGUGGUGUUCUCUUUGUUAGGUCCUCUUUAGGCCUAACAUUUUGUCAGGAAACUUUGGUCAAAAUCAUGAUGGCAGCUCAAAGAGCAGGAACAAGAAAAGCACGUUGCUUCUCCCAUGUUAGAAAUUCUUCUGACCUUUCCUUUGAAAUACCCAAGCAUGCCUGCACUGAAACAAGAAUCUGGGAGGUGGGCUUCUAUGUCUGAGGUGGGGCCGGGAAAGGAGGAAGGAAUGCCCUUCCUCGCAAAAUGCACCCACUUCUGUCCAGUUUUAAGCCUUUGAAUCAUGUAAUGUGCCCAUGGUUCUAACUAGUCUUCUUACUGCUUAGCUGCUAAAGCUGCCAGAAGUUAUGCCUGCCUUGAGCAAAUUUCAGCCUUCUAAAGCAGCUGAGAGCAUCCGGACCCCAGGCCUACAAGGGAUGUUCCCAGCUGCUCUGGGCUGUGGCAGAGGCAGCUGCUGAAAUGCAGGUUCAUGGCAUGCAAGCGGUGUGGAGGAGCGAACCAUAUGUUUGAGCGCACAGAGGGAAGGAGCUGCGUGAGAAAGAAACACCAUCCUCCCUUCUGAUGAAUGCACAGCAAGGGGGCUGAGGAGCUGCACGCUCAGUCUGAAUUUUCCUUCCCCACUCCUUGGAUGCUUGAAUUUUUAAGGUUACUCCUUCAUCUUAGGCUGGAUUUGAGGAUUUUCAUUGCUGUGGUUGUUUGUUUGCUGUCUCUUAAAGACCUGUCUUAAAGACAGGACUUCUGGUUUUCUCGUUGCUGCUAAAAUGCUGUCCCAUACUGCAAUGAGCUUGCAGAUAAAUAGACAAAACAAGGAAGGUGGCCACGUCCAAACUGCAACUGGAACGUAGCAGUUCCUGGCUCCUCUUUGAGUGAUUAAAUGGGAACAGGGCCACAUAGCUCCUCCCUUCUCUUGGAAAACAAAAACUGUGGACACUUGUAGAGAAAACAACCCCAAUCUCUGUCCUUGUCUCGCUGAAGUUUUCUUCUGUGGAAUCAGAAAUGUCUUUGCAGUAUCACAAUAAGUUAACGUGGAGUAGUCUUUAUUCAGAUGAGCAAAUGUCCUGUGAUCCUGACAAUCUCCUUAAGCAGCAGCAUAAAUAAAAGGCAACUUGCAGUAGCAGUAGAACAGAAGACUGAUGGCUAAAAAGAACUUCUAUACUGUUUUUGUAAAGUGACAGCUGUGAUUUAUCCCAUUCUUUACCAUUUAGAGAUAAUUUGGACUCGAGUAUAGAAUUGCUGGAUGUUAAGAUUUCAGCAGGAAGCCUGGGAGAACAUCCGUCAUCGCCAUGGCUUGUGUUAAUUUUUAAUCAUCUCCAGAUAAUUUUAAAACAUAGCUGCAGGUUUCUGAAACAUUCAUGUGAGCAAGUCUGUAAGUAUGUUGGCUGCCUUGGGUAGGAAAAUCCUCCAGUUCACAGGACAGGCUGACCAAGGAGCUGUGAGAGAGCAAAAAUGCUGUUGACACCUACUGGGACACAAUCUUCAAUGAGAGUAAAAACAUUAAAUAAAUAGUAUCUGAAGUUCCCAGAGGGACAUGCUGGCGGAGUGCUUCACUGCAGAGACUCUCACACAAGUUCAGCCUGACUGGAAAUGUUUAAUAUACAAGAGAGAGAGAAAAAAAAAAAAAACAGUUCCAGAGAUUUUUUUUCCUCUUCUUGAAACUAUUAAAUUCAGGGAGUGCGACUCCAGUGGGAAUGAAGGAGGAGAAUGGAAAACUUUUGGUGGGGUGAGCUGAGGUUUUGCAUCUUCUUAGUGGCGUUCUUCUGCCUCUGUGCAAUGUGAUACCAAGCACUGUGCUUGGUUCACUCCAGAGCUUUGGGAGAUCCUCAGCAGGUGCAGAUUAUCACAGGCUGGAGGAGAUCAGAGGCAGAGCAGGCUCCCCUUGUACCACCUUGGCCUACCUGCACAGGUGGCCUGGACCCAUGGCCUCCCCUUUCCUUGCCCUCUAGGGAGGUAUAGGCCAUGCCUGGGUCCUUCGAGCAAUAUUCCUGUGUAAAUAUAUGUCACGGGCAAAUUUCCAGCAUUAUAGUACCCAGCAAGGUCAGCUCUGCUUCUUUCCCAGGGCAGCCAGAAAAGCUGGCGCAACACAUUGAGGAAGAUAGAAAUGGCGGUGACCUUGGUGGGGCUGGGGCCUGUCUCAGCCAUGGGCUGAGUGGGGGGAGGGAGAGCAGCUUUGCUCCCUGCAAACCCCUGAGUUGCUUGAGUCAGCACUGCUGAUGCUUGUGUGUGCUCACCAGAAGCACAUUCCGAGGGGCUGAGGGCCUUAGGAUUCUCAGAAGCGGCAUAGGUGGCCCAACCCGGGCAUGGAUGCCUAAGAGAGAUGUCUGGAGGAUGGCUUUUCUCCUUUGUCAGUGAGGGUUGUAUGUGGAGGAGGACCCCUAAAUCCUGCUGCUUGCCUUUAUUUUGGGAUGGGAGGAAAUUCAAGACCCAUCUGGAUGCCUUCCUGUGUGACCUAUGGUAAGGAACAUGCAGAGGGUUGGACUUGAUCACCUCUAGAGGGCCCUUCCAGCCCCUACAAUUCUGUGAUUCCGUGAAAUCCAACCCUCAUGAAGGACAGAAAAUUUAUCUGCAGAGGAAUCGCCGAGGGUACGGCUAGCUGCCACCUGGGGCAAGCCAGCAGCUCAAUGCUACUCUGAAUAACCAUAACUUGCUAUAUGCUUAUCUUGUAUAAACUACCUGAUGGCUAAAUGUUGGUCUGAAUGGGAUGCCUUUUCCCCUCAGGAAAAUUUUGGCAGGAAAUUUUUGUAAGCAGCCAACGGAAAUUAAAUAAAUGGAAAAGUGGCCCCCAAGCAAAGAGGGAUCCAAAGUCUUCUGCUGUCUCCACUCAAAUUGAGUAGCACCUUCAUGUAAUAGUCUUCCCGUUGAGAUCAGUGAGGUUGUUUGAAUAAAAGAAGCAUUUAAGUGUAGAAGAAAGUAAGAGAAAAGAGACUGCAUUCAAAUCGAAUGACCAAAUUUCAAGUUUCCUUGAACCCCAAGGAAAGGACAGAUCCUUUAAGCUGUGAAGAAGUAACUGCUAGAAAAAUUCCAUGAAAUCAAUUCUAAAGUUUAUCACAGAAUAAGACUCAGUUAAGGGCCAGAAAGGAAAUUGAACUGUUCAAAGAUAUGGCAGUGUGGCAAAAGGGAGCAGCUCUGCUAGAAUGACUUUCUGUACGUAUUUGGUGUAUCUGCAGUUCUUUGUUGUGAAUCUUGACACACUGGUAAUUCUCUCUUCCAAAGUUCAGAUCACUGGUUUAGUUCUAAUUUACUGCAGUGCCUGGUUUUUGUGCCAGAUUUUUUCUCUGGGGGAAAAAAAAAGUUAAUGUUCAGAUAGAUAUACACCGAGGGAAAUUAUUUUAUAUAUGCAUGAUGUGUAUGUAUAAAAGUAUACGUAUGUAUGUAUAUGGAUAGAAAGAUGUUUCGUUUUCCCCUGCAGGGAUGUAAUUUCAACUGGAUCUAACAGGACACAAUACAUAACACUCAAAUUAGAGCAGCUGCAAGAAUAUGCAGCAGAACUAUUCUGCUGGCUGUUUUUGGAAACAUUUUAGCCAUCUCCAUUAUACCAGCAUGACUGCGUUCCUAUGGGAACAAGCUUCCUCAUAGCAAGAAUCUUCUAUAAUGAGAGCAGGUGACUCCUGGUUAAAAACCUGGGGCUUGGCACACAACUUAAUAUUUUGUAAAUAUCAAAUAUUCUGCAGUGCUUUGUCUAAACUCACUCAUUUUCAGAAGCAAUUAGAUUUUUUUUUCAACUCUGUCAAUGAGGCCAGACACAACAAGCCCGGUUAAAACUGUCACUGGGACUUGUUAUUAGAUCUGCAACAGUAAAGGCCUGUUUGCACCUUCAUAGCAACUAUGAUGUUGCUUGACAAGCUGCAAGCAAGAGGCGGUACCCCUUUUGAAGGGCACCGUACUGCAGCAAUAAGGCUGCAGUAGGCUUUAAUAGAACCACUUUGUGAGGGAGCUUCUUAGCAUCUAACUCUGUUUUAUCAUCUGCCCUAAAUAUCUCCUCCGAAGAAGGUUCUUGAGUUGUAUAUUGUGAGAGUAUUACAUUGUCUUAGUGUUUACUUACAGCAGGAAUGAUGCUUACAGGAGGGAACCAUAGAACUUUACAGCUCUCUCAAGGAUGCCUUGGAAAUAAAGAAUUAUAGGAGAAAAAAACCAUCAUACUGACUGAUGAGUUGGAGAACGAAGCAGUCACUGUAGCUAGCUGAAUGAUUCUUGGAAGCGGCGUUCAGAGCCUUCAUACCUUGCGCUGAAGCUGAUCAAAUGUAUCUGCUUUAUUUUUAACUCCCAACUGGUAAAACUGCCAGCAAAGUAUCCAUGGCGCACGUAAGUGAUACGAAGGAGGCAGAACUUAAUCUGCAGCUCUUUGCCAGCAGAUAAUGAAUGAACAUAGCUGGAAGUUGUAGCAAGGCCUAGAUUCGAAUUUCAAGGCAAGCUUGUAAGUUGUGGGGAAGUACGCAGUUAAACUAAGUCAGCUGAGCUGUGUAUCGAGGAUAUAGAUGUAAACAAAUGGAUCAAAGAUGUCAGAGUUGUAUCCUCUGGUCUUGUCCUUAUCCCUCCUAUAAUCUCAGCUGCAACUCCUCCGGCUCAAUUCUCAGUGCUGGUUCAUCUGUCUACCUCUGCUGGUGCAGUCCUGGCUUUCCUUGCUGAGGCUCUGGUCCUGGCUGCAGCUCCUCUUGUACCCUGACUGUGCUGAGCCAUCCACCUACUGAAGGCAGGGGUACCUCAUCUGUGGCAUUUAUUUCUCUUGCUCUCCUUAAGGCAGAUGAUGGCAAGUUGGCCCUGAAGUAAUCCCUGAGGUGCCUGAGACUCGGUGAACUUCAGGCACUUGUGGAAACCUCCACGAAAACUGCUGGAGUAACAGCCUUGUUGAUGAUAUGGCAUGACCAGUGAUGAUGGUGUUGAGAAAUUGAAACACGUUUCAAGAGAGUCUGCUGGCUGCCCUGGUACAUGCACUGCUGUUUCAGGCCCUAUUAGCAGUUCACAAGCAGACCAAGAGUCCCACCUUCUCACCUGACUGAUUUUUGAGGGUAGAAAAUGUUUUUGAGAAAUAAAAGCGAAGAAUUACGGUGUCUAAAGACACAAUUAACAAUUGCAAAACUUAGUAUCUAUUGUCAGGGACCUUCCCAGUGUACAUUUCCAGCUGCUCUUAGCAAUGACACGUUGUCACUGCCCUCUGUUUUUGUGCUUCAGAAGGUACAGGAAUUUUAUACUGUGACACCUAACCAGCAUUUCAGUGGAGCCACUGUUCUGAUAGUAAAUGAUGAAGCAUAUACCCUACGCUUGGAAACAAGCAUUUGCAGUUGCUGCCUUUAGAACAAUCCUUCUAGCUCAAAGGAGAGCCACGCAGUAAAAACAUGGGUGUGUUAAUCCUUUGUGUGCUUGAUAAGAUGUGAAUUUGUUUGCGUAGCCAUCUGCUUGCCAACUAGAACAAGGUGGGUUGAGGGUUAUGGUGCUUUUAUUGCUCUAUAUGAAGUAAACUUGGAAACAGAGAAAAACAAUGGACCACAAAGGCUGUAAGAGUAAUAGAUGAAGGUAGAGCCAUUUUUUUUUCUGGGAACUUCAAAUGCUUAAACUCAGCAGGUAUGAGUUUCUGGAGUUGGUGUACAUAGCAAAAGAAAGUAAUGACAGUACCUUCUAAUAGGAUACGAGCACUACAGAGCAACAGGAGGUAACAAAGAAGAAAAAUUGGCUCACCUCUUCCAAUGACCAGUGAUAGCUCAACAGGAGCACAGUCUCUAUCCAAAGAGAUACUGCUCCCUUGGCUGCUAUCUCUUAAAUGAGGAUGAGGAGGGGUAGAUCCAGGCUCCACCCCUUUCAGUCAAGCAGGUGCAUGGCUUGCACCUGAGCUCCCUUGGUUAUCCACUCCUUCUCACCUGGUGCUCAGCAAUUGCUUCAGGCUCUGACCUGGCAAUUCUGCUGCGGGAUGUUUUUAAAGGGCAGCCAGCCAAGUGCUUUUAAGCCAAACGUGUGGCUAUUUGGGGAAAUAACUUGGAGAGUAUUGAUUGACUCUACCAAAUGUCAUUUUAGUUGGGUCUGAAUGUUUGCAGUUCUGCCUCAGUUUGGAGGCCAGCAUGUGGUGCGGCAGGGCACUGCAGCACUCGGUGCUGGUCCUCUGAUUGGGACUGGUAAUGCUCAUAGAGGAUCUUCCUUUCCCCUCCCUGCUCUGAGUGUUCUCUUGCAAGUGUUAUGAAAUGCAAAUGCAACAGACUGUGCGGGUGAAACCUGGAAAGCACAACUCCCCUAGAAGCUGGCUGCCAGUGAAGCAUCCCAGCCUUGUUUGUUCUCAGGACAAAUGCUGUCUCAAGGAGUGUGCUGGUGUGCCCUGCUUCGUAUAGGGAGGUUCCUCUCCCCCUAUGGCAGUGGCAUAGGCAGCCCGUUCCAUGCCCACCACCCUCUGGUGCAGCCCCUGUCCCUAACCCCCAGCUGCCCCUCUCCUGACACAGCUCCAUGCCGUUCCCUGUCGCUGUCACAUAGAGCAGAGCUCAGCGCUGCCCCUCCUCUCCCUGUGAGGAGCUGUAAGCCACAGAUGGAAGGGAGAUGGCCUAAAGAAGGAGCAGGGCUGCCCUUUGCUAUGGAUGCAGCAGGAUGGUGCUACACCAGCACCCUGGAUGUGGGAAUGGCUGGCUCUCCACCUGCCCUCCAGUCAAAGCUCUCCCCUGGAAGCAGAUGCUGUCUCCAGUCCGGGAAGUGCUCUGCGCUCAUACUUUGCCUCUCUUGAAAGCCUCAUGGCCCUGCCUGCACAGUUGCUGGUUUCAGCAAGGCUCUUUGAAGUCCAUCAAAGCAGUCUUUAAUGCAGCGUGACCGACUUAAAGGCUUUUUUCUUUUUCAUCAGCUUCACGAGGAAUAAAGCACAUCUGAUGCAGGACACAGCAGUGCUUUCUCUUGUGCUGGAGGAUGGGUGCUCAGGCAGGACAGAGUGCCGGAGGAACAACAUCUCUGCUCUGACUCCUUCUGACAGGACUGAUGGAGCUGGUGAAUUUUCUGGCGAAUUAAACUCCAUGAGAGCUUCUGCCUGGAAGCCAUCAUCCUGCCUCUGUACUUGCCUCCAUUCAGUAAGGAUCUGUGAUGUUCUUGGAGAUCUCCUGCAGAGCUUUCCCCUGUGUGGCAGAAAUUACCCUGUCCACCAUCUGAGAGAACUCUGGUACCUCCCAUAGUCACACAGAGCACUUGGAGGUGCCCUGCCCCUCUCAUAGUUACCUGAAUGCCCCCCAUCAGCUCCAUCACAGCCUUGACUGAACUGGCUGCUGUGUUGCACCCUGUGCGUGUUUUGUAAUUAAGUCACUAGGCGAGAGGGUAGGUUUCUGUCUGGGUAUAUUUUUUUGUUUGUGUUUUAAUUAUUUUAUUUUAUUUUAUUUUGAGCCAAGUUCUAAAGUCCACGCUUAGGGCCUCACAUGCUCAGAUUUCCUUUAACUCUUGAUAGGGGGAAAGAACUGAGUCGCGACCUUAUGGUCUGAACGUGAGCAAACAAUCUGUUACAGUGAACACACGCAGAGGAAAAGAACAGCGAUGAUUCGAGGCAGCAGGAUCCUCAUUGACUUGAGAUCAUCAUUUUCUUGAAGGCAGGGGGUAAUGGCUGGCUGUCACCCACACGAUUAUAUCCUCACACUGUUCCUGGACUGACCUGAAAUGAAACCUCCAAUGCCAGCAGGGAUAAAUCCCAGGGUAGGGGAGGCUGGGAUGUCUGUGCCCCACCAGCCUUUCUGUGCCCGUGCUGCCAACCUGGAAGAGGUUUGUGGAGCCUUUGUGUUCGUUGUGAUGUUUUUGCUGUUAGGUCUAGAAUGUGGGGAUUGAGAUUGUUGCCCCGUGCUGCAGAUCCCUCACCAAAAUCAUAGCUGAGCGUUCCCUGUGCUUCUGAAGGUAUAAUGGAAAAGCUUUACAGCACAGCCCUUAUUUCCAAGAUGUGCCCGUAGUUUGGUUAAAAAAAACUGUUGGAUUCUCAAGCUUAUUUUAUGCUGGCGUUAAAAACAUGUGUUCUUCCAGGAACGCAACAUGAAUGAAUGUGAGCUCUAAAUUAUGCUGACCUUUCAAUUAGAAAUUUUCCACCACCUAUCAUUCCAGGACAAAUAUUGAUUGAACAGUCCAUGUGUGUGUGUGAAGCGCAGCCUGACAGCCGGCGUGACCUUCCUCUUCUGUGCCUGAUUGCCAAUGGUGGCUUUAAGCUUCCUUUUGUACCAAAACCUCGUUUCAUAACUGAACUCCCUGCUCUUUGGAACCUGAGUUUCUUCGUUUGUUUGCUCAGCGAGCUGAGAUCUGUUGGGAUAUUUCUCUGUUUGAUUUGGUUGUUAGCUUUGUUGCCGUCCGAAAUGGCCCAGGGCUGCUUUGUUCAAGGCCAUUUUUCUGGAAGGGUUUUGUUCUGCACAAGUUUGCGGGUAUCACCCGUGUGAUUUCUGCCCCAUUGUGUGCUGCUCGCCCGCUCAGGGCCAUAUUGUGAUUGCAUGUGUGCUUGGCUCCGCAGCUCUCAGCAUCCACUGAGCAUGGGAAAAUGUCUUUCCGCCGGGAGAUUUCAUCACUGAAUUUUCAUAUCUCCAAAUCCUAUAGAAUUUUUUUUUUUUUUUUGAGGUUACAAGAGAUCAAUUUCCAUAAACCAAAGAAUUAUAGGAUGGCUUAGUUUGAAAGGGACCUUUAAGGUCAUCUAGCUCCAACCCCUGAAUGCUCUUAAAAAUAUGAAUGAAGGACAGCGUUAGCCUUCCCCAGACUGUCCUGGUUUUGGGGCAGAAACAAAGACGUAUCUUCAUGUUUCAAUGUAGCAGGUUUCUCCAACGGUGGAUUCUCCAAAGGAUGGAUUUGGUCCCCAGCAAGUACUUUGCAGCAGUGCGAUCUGCUUUUGCAGGGAGAGUCAGCACAAAGCCACCCCGCACUCCCCAUAACAUCGAUGAACGGGGUGAGUUUUAUUCAAUAGGCCUCAGUCUUUUUAAUAAAAGCACUAGUUUGUAUUACAGAGUCACAGAAUUGCAGGGGUUGGAAGGGACCUCUUAGAUCGUUGAGUCCAACUCUCUCUAAAGGAGGUUCCCUAUAGUAGGUCGCACGGGUAGGCAUCCACAGAAGAAGACUCCACAACCUGUCUGAGCAGCCUGUUGCAGUGCUCCAUCACUCAGACAGUAACCGAUUUCUUCCUUGUGUUAGUAUUGAACUACCCAUGUUUCAGUUUCUGCCCGUUGCUCCAUGUUCUACUGCUGCACACCACCCUCAUCAACAUGGCUCCCGCACUGUAGGUAUUUAUAUAUAGUUAUGAGAUCCCCUCACAGCCUUCUCUUCUCCAGACUGAAGAGUCCCAGGUCUUUAGGUAUCUUAGCCUAGAGCCCCCUGGAUUCUGCCCAGGGGAAAGAUGGGGGUGGGAGCUGAGGCCUGGAUGCAUUUGUCUCUCAUUCGUGCCUUCACCAAAGCUGCUGAUGUGCAGGCCUCCAGCUCCCACCAAGGGCACACACACCCACAGAGCACGCAGUGCUGCCCUCUGACCCCUGUCAGGAACGUUACUUCUUCUCAUGGUUAUGAAAGAUACUCAUACUGCUUUCUUCUGAGAUUAUGGUUUGUACUUCUAUAUAUAAUGCAUAUACAUACAUAAAAUGUAAACACAUGCGCACACUAUAUAUAUGCACACUAUAUGUAUAUAUAUAUCCCUUCCUCCCAUCCCAUUUCCUUCUCUUCUCACAGCCCAAACGUUCCCAGUGAGAGGACGGCAGAUUUCCAUCACAAAUGCUUUUCCCCUGACUGUUUUUUGUUUUCUAAGCCUGUGACAUGAAAGCAGACAUAAUAUUUUCAUUUUGGUUCUCUAUAAAUAAACAGAAAUCUCAUUUCCAGAAAGUGUUGGUGGAGCAAGUCAAGUCCUCAGGCAGAAGAGCACCCUGCUUCUCUGCUGCUGAGCCCCGUUGUGUCCCCGGGGUCGUGCAGGAACCCCCAGGGGGUUCACAAGGAAACACGGACCCCCUCAAAUUAAAGUACAACAUCUAGGUCUGGUUCUGCUGCCCUGCUCUGUUUCCUUGGCUUUAAAUUACCACUGGGGGUACAGGUCAUUCUGUGCAAGAGAUAGAGCCUGAAGCGAGGUGUUGGAGGCUGUCUGUGCCUUCCCCGUGUCUUUUCCUAAUGUCAAUGGUUCUGUGGGCCUCCAAGCAGACGUGCUGCUCUUCCCAUGGCAAUCUUCUGGACCUAAAGAGCAAGGCAUUCAGAUUUGAAUGCUGGUACCGGGGAAAGGGGGCCUUAUUCAGGCUGUGGCCCUCAGUGAGUGCUGUGCUCAUGCAUGGAUGUGGAACAGCUACUGCAUCUGGGUCACUGCACUGACCGCUCUCUGGGACGGGCACAUGUCCUUGCUUAAUGCCCUGGCAUCAGCUCUGGAAAUCCCUGCUGCAGAGGUGUCUGCUUGUGAAGUGAGCAGGACCAGUGUUAGGAACGGCUGGAGCCUGAAAGUAGUGUUCUUGGGCUGGGAAUAUACUGCUCCACCACUCCCAUAGAGCGACUGCAUUACCUACCCACCUUUGCUGCAUUAUGGCUUCGGGAUCACUGUGUUCCUUCGGGGUUCAGCUGGACACGUCUUGUGCUGGGCAGACCACGGCCCCGCGUGCGCCCAGAUGGUGUUUCAGGGUUUUCAAGGGAAUUCUAAAGGAUCUCAGGAAUGUGAGAGGGUUUGAAAGCUUUCUGCUUUCGCAAGGUUUUUCCAGUGCUUGUUUAUGGUUUAGAUGCUCACAGCAAACAGAUGCUCGUUUCGAAGCAGGUCAGAAGUCCCAGACUUGUAGGAGACGCUGUCUGCCUUGUUUUCCGCUGUUUAGUACCCAAAGCUAAGCACGUAAACUGCACCCGUGAAUAACCCGAGAGGUUCCCCUGCCCUGGGUACAGCUUCUCGCUCACACUGAGAUCCCUCGCAGCACAAGCAGUGGGACACCGUCUGUGCGCAGGCUGCAGAAACUUGUGCAAACAUCACUGCUUGUUUAGAAGGUGGGGAGCUAAAUGAUUUAUUAGUGUGCUCAGCACUGAAGCUGAGAAGGUUCUUCUCAGGUUGGCUUUUAUCACUGACACCUUACGGGGUCUCGCUGACUGGAAAAUUCCUAGUAACUGGAUAGUGGGAGGGAAGGAAGCGUGUGGCGUAGCCAUCUGAGGGGCACGGCCCCACUCUGAUGACACUGAAGGGGAUAAGUUGCUGCCACCACACUGGUUUCUUUCUCUUAUUUUUGCACAGGGGAAGGCCAGAGCCUGCCAGUGCACUGACCAGAAGCAUUAUCCAUCCCCCUUGGCAGAUGUGUGAGCAGCCACCAGCAGGGACCUCUGCCUCUCUACAAGCACAGGGAGUGCAGCCCAGCAUCCAGAUAUGGAACUCUGUUUUGGGUGAAUGGGUAACACUGCUGUGCAACUCCAGUUAUGAGACCAAUUCUCAUCCCCAUGCACUUCCCUUCAUUUACAACGCCCAGUAUCACAGAACCACAGAACAGUUUGGGUUGGAGGGGACCUCAAAGCCCACCCCGUCCCACCCCAUGCUGUGGGCAGGGCUGCCCCCCAGCAGCUCAGCUGCCCAGGGCCCCAUCCAACCUGGCCUUGAGCCCUCCAGGGAUGGGGCACCACAGCUUCUCUGGGCAGCUGUGCCAGCACCUCACCGCCCUCACAGUAGUCUAGAACUCAUUUAAUAUUUUGUGUACAGUUCUUAAAUAAAAGCAGAAAUUUCUACAUUUGGUUGGAGAGGCUGGAGUUUUAGCAAUGUGACAACUGCAAUGAGAUCACAACCAUCAGCAGCAUUAUGGUAGUAAAAAUGGAAAAUUCUCUAGAAAGAGAAAUACAGUACCUUAAUGCACACACAUAACUAGUGAGAGAAUUUAUCAAACCUCCUAGAUAGAAAGUUUCACGCAGGCCGCUUGUGAGCAAUGAAAGAGUCUCUGCAGAGGUAAAGGCGCUGUAGGUCUUUUAUGAUAAGGCUGGUUUCUGCCUUUCAAAAGAAUGCCAAAUCCGAAGAGCAGCAGAUAUUCUCUGUGUGGCCUGUGGGGUCAACAGCCGCAGAAAUAACCACAUCAUUUAAUUUUCCUACUCUGUUCCCAUUAUUUUUCCACUUGUAUGAUACAUUCUUGGUAAGUAUAUAGCAUAAAUAUAUAGAGAGAAGGUAGAGUUCCCUCAGCCUAAGUGGUAAAACACGCAGAACAAAGAGGGAAGUGGGAUUUGAAAUGCAGUGAGCCAAUGUGAAAUAUUUGAAGCGCCGGCUGUGUGGUGGCUGAAGGAAAACCACUGGAGCAGGAGGGCAAUCCAGACAGUGAGUUUUGAAAGUGGCUGCAGAACAGGCCGUGGUCUAACAAAAGGAUCUCCCCCAUCCUUACAUUAACACGCUUCUCAAAGCUCGGGGAAUCGGAGGAUAUUUUCUCUCCAAACUCCCUCAGCAUGGUUUGCCCUCUGCCAGUGACCCAACCUACAGCUAAGCUGUUUGCAACGGGAUGUGGAUUGCUUUCUGAUUGCUUAACUUUGGCAUGUUCCAUGAGCAUGCUGAGACUCUCACCCUUUGCAACAAAACCCCCUUUUGAAAGCACAUCAAAAGACUGAGUCCGGAUUUGUGAGAGAUACGGGAAAUUGCUGAGGAAAAUAUUUUACCAAGAGGAAAGCAGACAAACGCCUGGCAGGCAAGCGGUAGUUUUGUUCCUGAAGAGGGAUGUAAGUCUGGGAUUUAGGAGAGCUGAGCAGAACUGGAAGAAAUGUACAAGCUUCAAGGGGUACGACAGACGCUAAAUUAUAGUGGUUUGCUCAAAAAUAACCUUGCACUUCAUAGACAAAAAGCGUGCCACGGAAGUAUUUGAGAGCCUGAGGAUAAGUCCUUGAAGAUCCAUCAGACAAACCCACUGUGGCAUGUGGCUCAGCGGGCAGAAGGGGACUGUAAGAAAAAAGGGAACAGACUCUUUAGCAGGGUCUGUUGUGCCAGGACGAGGGGAAAUGGUUUCCAACCAAAAGAGAGGAGAUUUAGACAGGAUAUGAGGAAUGAGUGUUCUACAAAAAAAGUGGUGAGGCACUGGAAUAGGUUGCCCAGAGAGGCGGUGGAUGCUCCAUCCCUGGAGACACUCAAGGUCAGGCUGGAUGGGGCUCUGAGCAUCCUUAACUGCUGUAGGUGUCCCUGUUCAUUGCAGAGGAGUUGGACUGGAUGGCCUUUAUCCCUUCCAAUUCAAACGAUUCUAUGAUUUUAUGUCACUGUGUGCACAGGGCUGUGCUCAUCCUCCUGUGGAUCCCCAAGGUUCCCUGUGUGCCAAGAGCAGUUUGGUCAGUGUGGAUGAGAGCUAGCGGGCUUUGGCUGGGAUCCUUCCUAGUUUCCCUUCUGGGCUCUCUCCAUUUGUGAGUGAGCAGUGAAGGGGGUCCUAGCGCUCUCCUUGUGGAAAGCAGGAUGGUCCAACUUGGUAGCAAAUAGAAUGGCAAAAAAGAAGUGCUGGCUUUGGGGAGACUCCUGCAAAUCUCAUCAUUGCACAAUGAAGGCAGUUCCCUCCACCAGAAUGACUCAGUGUUUACUGCUGCUCAGGGGUCUCUGUUGGUGUGAAAAGUGCAACCAUGGGUUAUGGGGACGUGGGUGAGAGCCCCUGCUGUAAGUCAUGUCAAAUUUACAUACCCAUUUGGAAUUAUCAUUUGUAGUCUCUUGGUAAUAAAUGCCUUCCAUUUUAGUGUU